CCUACGGGUGGCAGCAGUGGGGGAUAUUGCACAAUGGGGGGAACCCUGAUGCAGCGACGCCGCGUGGGUGAAGGAGCGUUUCGGCGCGUAAAGCCCUAUCGGCAGGGAAGAAGGAGGACGGUACCUGACUAAGAAGCCCCGGCUAACUACGUGCCAGCAGCCGCGGUAAUACGUAGGGGGCAAGCGUUAUCCGGAUUUACUGGGUGUAAAGGGGGCGCAGACGGCACGGCAAGCCUGAUGUGAAAGCCCGCGGCCCAACCGCGGGACUGCAUUGGGAACUACCGGGCUGGAGUGCCGGAGAGGUAGGCGGAAUUCCUAGUGUAGCGGUGAAAUGCGUAGAUAUUAGGAGGAACACCAGUGGCGAAGGCGGCCUACUGGACGGUGACUGACGCUGAGGCUCGAAAGCGUGGGGAGCAAACAGGAUUAGAUACCCGUGUAGUC
rnacentral:rRNA from 1 species